GGGGCUUCGGCCCUGAGUAAAGUGGCGCACGGGUGAGUAACACGUAGGUAACCUGCCUCUGAGAUUGGGAUAACUUGUCGAAGACGGCUAAUACCGAAUAAGACCACAGCUUCUUUGGGAGCAGAGGUCAAAGAUAGCCUCUACUUGUAAGCGUAUCACUUAGAGAUGGGCCUGCGCACCAUUAGCUAGUUGGUAGGGUAACGGCCUACCAAGGCAAAGAUGGUUAGCUGGUCUGAGAGGAUGAUCAGCCACACUGGAACUGAGACACGGUCCAGACUCCUACGGGAGGCAGCAGUGGGGAAUAUUGCGCAAUGGGCGAAAGCCUGACGCAGCAACGCCGCGUGAGUGAUGAAGGCCUUCGGGUCGUAAAGCUCUGUCGGAGGGAACGAACGUUCCCGGAGUUAACAGCUCCGGGAAGUGACGGUACCCUCAAAGGAAGCACCGGCUAACUCUGUGCCAGCAGCCGCGGUAA
rnacentral:rRNA from 1 species